rnacentral:rRNA from 1 species
UACGGGGGGAGCAAGCGUUGUUCGGAUUUACUGGGCGUAAAGGGCGCGUAGGCGGCGCAACAAGUCACUUGUGAAAUCUCCGGGCUUAACCCGGAGCGGCCAAGUGAUACUGUCGUGCUAGAGUGCGGAAGGGGCUACUGGAAUUCUCGGUGUAGCGGUGAAAUGCGUAGAUAUCGAGAGGAACACCUGCGGCGAAGGCGGGUAGCUGGGCCGACACUGACGUGAGGCGCGAAAGCCAGGGGGAGCGAACGGGG